rnacentral:rRNA from 1 species
GACGAACGCUGGCGGCGUGCUUAACACAUGCAAGUCGAACGGGAUUUAGUAGACAGAAGCCUCGGCUAAAGAUUACUAAUGGGAGUGGCGAACGGGUGAGUAACGCGUGAGCAACCUGCCUAUGACAGUGGGAUAGCCUCGGGAAACCGGGAUUAAUACCGCAUAAAAUCGUAGAAACACAUGUUUCAACGGUCAAAGAUUUAUCGGUCAUAGAUGGGCUCGCGUCUGACUAGCUAGUUGGCGAGAUAACAGCCCACCAAGGCGACGAUCAGUAGCCGGUCUGAGAGGAUGAACCGCCACAUUGGAACUGAGACACGGUCCAAACUCCUACGGGAGGCAGCAGUGGGGAAUAUUGCACAAUGGGGGAAACCCUGAUGCAGCGACGCCGCGUGAACGAAGAAGGUAUUCGUAUCGUAAAGUUCUGUCCUAUGGGAAGAUAAUGACAGUACCAUAGAAGAAAGCUCCGGCUAAAUACGUG